GUCUUCUCGAUAUUGUUUGUGAGGUCGAACCUGCCCAGUGACAUUUAUGGUUCAACGGCCGCGGUAUAUUGACUGUGCAAAGGUAGCAUAAUCAUUAGUUCUUUAAUAGGGAACUGGUAUGAAUGGUUUGACGAAAUAUUAGCUGUCUCAGCUUGAUUAUUAUAAUUUAUCUUUAGGGUUAAAAGACCUUGAUUUUUUUGGAAGACGAGAAGACCCUAUAGAGCUUUAUACACUUUUUGGAUAAUUUUUAUUAUUUAAUUUUUUUAAAAUAGUUUAUUUUGUUGGGGUGAUAAUUAAAUAUAUUUAACUUUAUUAUUAAUUUUACAUUUAUUUUUGGGCUUUAGAUCCAGUUUUAUUGAUUAUUAGAAUAAGUUACCUUAGGGAUAACAGCGUUAUUUUCUUUUGAAGUUCAAAUUUGCAAGAAAGAUUGCGACCUCGAUGUUGGAUUAAGAUAAUAGUUUGGUGCAGUAGCUGAAUAAAUAGGUCUGUUCGACCUUUAAAAUCUUACAUGAUCUGAGUUCAAACCGG
rnacentral:rRNA from 1 species